rnacentral:rRNA from 1 species
AGUUCAAAGGGCGUGAAACCGCUUAGAAGAAAACGGACGGAGCCGUCGGGAGCCUUCGGGAAUCAGUCUCGCGAUAGGCGAACGUGCGGCGAUUCGGAACGCAAGUCCGAUCGUUGUGCGGCUAGUAGCUUUCGCUUGGCGCAUUUCUCGAAGGUAAGCACCGCGACCGAUACGAAAGGCCGACGAAGCGUUUGGAUUGAGGGCGAGUCCUCUCACGGGGGCUCGUAACCAGUCCUUACGUCGUUUAGUCGUCGGACCGCAGUAUGUAUCGAUAGCCAAAGUUAUAUUAUAUACGCCGGCCGUAAAGCUCGCUCGAGUAAUGGAUAGUUGGUCAAUAGUGUUGGUACUUGCUCGCAGGUGCUAAUCUAUUCGAUUCGGCUUUUGAAGUUAUCGGCGACGUUUCGGCGUAUAGGCGUCGGCGGUGUCAGUGUCGGCCACCCAUCCGACCCGUCUUGAAACACGGACCAAGGAGUCUAACAUAUGCGCGAGCUAAUGGGUGGAAAACCCAAAAGCGUAAUAAAAGUAAACGCCGUUUCGGACGGCUAAGGUACGAUCCUAGUGUCCUUUGCGACAUUAGGCGCAGUACUGUCCCGUCCCGACCGCAUGUCGGUAGGGCGGAGAUAGAGUGCAUACGUUGGGACCCGAAAGAUGGUGAACUAUGCCUGAGCAGAGCGAAGCCAGAGGAAACUCUGGUGGAGGUUCGUAGCGGUUCUGACGUGCAAAUCGAUCGUCAGACUUGGGUA